GACGAACGCUGGCGGCGUGCCUAAUACAUGCAAGUCGAACGCAGUGGGGACGGGUGAGUAACACGUGGGUAACCUCCCAUCAGAGGGGAUAACACUUGGAAACAGGUGCUAAACCGAUACUGAUGGAUGGACCCGCGGGGCAUUAGCUAGUGGGUGAUGUAACGGCUCACCAAGGCCACGAUGCAUAGACGACCUGAGAGGGUGAUCGGCAACACUGGAACUGAGACACGGCCCAGACUCCUACGGGAGGCAGCAGUAGGGAAUAUUCGACAAUGGACGAAAGCCUGACAGAGCAACGCCGCGUGAGUGAAGAAGGUUUUCGGAUUGUAAAGCUCUUUUGGGAGAGAAGCGGUAUCUGAACAGAAAGCCACGGCUAACUACGUGCCAGCAGCCGCGGUAAUUC
rnacentral:rRNA from 1 species